rnacentral:rRNA from 1 species
UACAGAGGUCUCAAGCGUUGUUCGGAUUCAUUGGGCGUAAAGGGUGCGUAGGCGGCGCGGUAAGUCAGGUGUGAAAUCUCGGAGCUUAACUCCGAAACUGCAUUCGAUACUGCCGUGCUUGAGGACUGGAGAGGAGACUGGAAUUUACGGUGUAGCGGUGAAAUGCGUAGAUAUCGUAAGGAAGACCAGUGGCGAAGGCGGGUCUCUGGACAGUUCCUGACGCUGAGGCACGAAGGUCAGGGGGAGCAAAACGGG